UACGAAGGGGGCUAGCGUUGUUCGGAAUCACUGGGCGUAAAGGGCGCGUAGGCGGCUUGAUAAGUCGGGGGUGAAAGCCUGUGGCUCAACCACAGAAUUGCCUUCGAUACUGUCUGGCUAGAGACCGGAAGAGGUAAGUGGAACUGCGAGUGUAGAGGUGAAAUUCGUAGAUAUUCGCAAGAACACCAGUGGCGAAGGCGGCUUACUGGUCCGGUUCUGACGCUGAGGCGCGAAAGCGUGGGGAGCAAACAGG
rnacentral:rRNA from 1 species